rnacentral:tRNA from 1 species
AAUGGUUUAGUUAAUAAUAAUAUUAAUUUGUCAAGUUAAAGAAGAGCUAAUUCCUC